ACACACAGGUAGUAGCUCUCGAACUAGACGCAACAUCACAAGUGUUAACUAGCGUCGUUAGAACAGAUAUACCGCCACCUACUUGAGAAUAUCAAUUUAUAGAUGUUACCAAAAUUAACAAUAAUUCAGCCAGUACCUGGCCAAAUCAUAUUUCUGUAAGAAAAGCCGCGUUCUCCUGUCGUUCAUGUUGGAUGGACUUCCUCUGAGCUCAACAUUUCCACGACGAGCUGGCAGGCCUUCAUCCCAUCCUGUGUAACAUCCUACUCAGGGGGUUCCCACACACUGUCAUUGUAGCGCUGUCCGUCUGCACAGCAGCUGCGGCAGUCCAGCCUGACCCUUUUCAACUGAAGGCACAAGCAGCUAAAACCAAUGGUAAGCACAGCACAGGGCUUCUAGAGUCACAUUUUGUGGACAGUCGGUGUUCUGCCUUCCAAUACCAGGCCAAGAAUUACUUGGCGGAAUUUGCUGCUCCUCGACACGGAGCUGCAAAGCUGGUGAUGCCUGGAUCCACUCCGGCCAGCAGCAAGGCUCGGGUGUACACCGAUGUCAACACGCAGAAGAACAGAGAGUAUUGGGACUAUGAUGCACAUGUGCCAAACUGGAGCAAUCAAGACAACUAUCAGCUUGUGCGUAAACUGGGUAGAGGAAAGUACAGUGAAGUAUUUGAAGCCAUAAGCAUCACCAAUAAUGAGAAAGUGGUGGUGAAAAUCCUCAAGCCCGUCAAGAAGAAGAAAAUCAAACGGGAAAUUAAAAUUCUUGAAAAUCUACGCCAUGGGCCCAACAUCAUUUGCCUGGUUGAUACAGUCAAGGACCCAGUGUCCAGAACACCAGCACUUGUCUUUGAAUGCAUCAAUAACACAGAUUUUAAGGAGCUUUAUCAGAAGCUGACAGACUUUGACAUUCGUUACUACAUGUAUGAGCUUCUUAAGGCUCUGGACUACUGCCACAGCAUGGGGAUUAUGCACAGAGACGUGAAGCCACAUAACGUGAUGAUCGACCACCAGCAGAGAAAGCUACGUCUUAUUGAUUGGGGAUUGGCAGAAUUUUAUCAUCCCUCUCAGGAAUACAAUGUCAGGGUGGCGUCUCGCUAUUUCAAAGGCCCUGAGCUGCUAGUGGACUAUCAGAUGUAUGACUAUAGUUUGGAUAUGUGGAGUCUAGGUUGCAUGUUGGCAAGCAUGAUCUUUCUGAAGGAACCUUUUUUUCAUGGCCAGGACAACUACGACCAGCUGGUCCGUAUCGCUAAAGUGCUGGGCACUGAUGAGCUCUUUGGCUACCUGCACAAAUAUCACAUAGAACUGGACACUCGCUUCAAAGACCUGCUGGGACAGCAAACACGAAAGCGUUGGGAGCAGUUCAUCCAGACUGAAAACCAGCAUCUGGUGAGUCCAGAGGCUCUGGACCUGCUCGACAAACUACUGCGUUAUGACCACCAGCAGAGGCUGACGGCGGCUGAGGCCAUGCAGCACCCAUACUUCUAUCCUGUGGUGAAGGAACAGGCAAACACCAUUGCAGGUGGCAUGAAGGCAAUAAGCAGCUCCAUUGCAACAUGAUGAUAACCAGAGGACAGCAGUUUGUGGGAAAAAGCAUUUCUGUCAUGAUGCAAUUGUCAAAGGAAGAAUCUUUACCUCAACUUGUGACAUUUUUGUGGUGGAACCUUCUGCCUCCACACCAACAGCCAUACUGAAACAGGAUGUCUGUUAUGCAGCACACACAAACACAUUUGAUUUCCCGACAAAGUUCUGGCUAAAUGGCCCACCUGGUCCCAGUCCCCCCCCCCCCAAACAAAAUCUUUUUUGCCCUUUUUUUUUAAAAGCAGACUGAACAUUGUUGAAUCAGCUUCAUGACCACGUUGUGCUGUCCAGAUGUCUGCAGGCUGUUCUGACGCCUUACUGACCUGAGAUCAGUUCCUGAGUAACAGCACCGAAUGGCACGGAGGCUCUUUUUUCCUACUGUGUAUAGAACAAAAGCUAUAUUGAAAGAAUAAACAUUUUUAUUUAAAGAUGUGUAUUUGAUUUAUUUCCUCACAAACUGAGGUGAUGAAGUGGAAAUCAUCUACUUUCUAUGAUAGUAGUAUAUAACCAGGAGACUAUAACAGGAAUAUUGAGUGAAGAUGAUGUUUUGAGUUGAUGUCCUCUAAGCGAGAUGUCUGCAAUGCAAAUGACCUUUGAGGUGCUCAGGUCUCUGUAACCUUCAACAGGCGAUGAACAUUCUGAUUUUGUUUUAAAAUGUUGUAAAGUAAUAUAAAAGCUGCUAUUUUAGUGUUUGUACAAAGCACUUUUGACUUGCACUUUUACUCAGGAAGUGCUCUAUAAAUAAAGAACAGUAUCAUUUCAACCCUCAA